rnacentral:rRNA from 1 species
AACGAACGCUGGCGGCGUGGAUUAGGCAUGCAAGUCGAACGCGAAAGAGGGAGCAAUCCCUCAAGUAGAGUGGCGAACGGGUGAGUAACGCGUGAAGAACCUGCCUUCAACAGGGGGAUAACACUCCCAACGGGGUGCUAAUACCGCAUGAGACCACGGGUCCGCAUGGACCUGAGGUCAAAGGUGGCCUCUGCUUGCAAGCUACCGGUUGAAGAUGGCUUCGCGUCCCAUAGCUAGUUGGCGGUGUAAAAGACCACCAAGGCGACGAUGGGUAGCUGGUCUGAGAGGAUGGUCAGCCACACUGGGACUGAGAUACGGCCCAGACUCCUACGGGAGGCAGCAGUCGAGAGGCUUUGGCAAUGGGGAAACCCUGACCAAGCGACGCCGCGUGGAGGAUGAAGGCCCUUGGGUUGUAAACUCCUUUGUCGGGGAAGAAAUGCGAUCAGGUAACAAUCUGGUCGUUUGACGGUACCGGCGAAUAAGCU